AGUGAACGCUGGCGGUAGGCCUAACACAUGCAAGUCGAACGGCAGCACAGGAGAGCUUGCUCUCUAGGUGGCGAGUGGCGGACGGGUGAGGAAUACAUCGGAAUCUGCCCAGUCGUGGGGGAUAACGUAGGGAAACUUACGCUAAUACCGCAUACGACCUUCGGGUGAAAGAGGGGGAUCGCAAGACCUCUCGCGAUUGGAUGAGCCGAUGUCGGAUUAGCUAGUUAGCGGGGUAAUGGCCCACCAAGGCGACGAUCCGUAGCUGGCCUGAGAGGAUGAUCAGCCACACUGGAACUGAGACACGGUCCAGACUCCUACGGGAGGCAGCAGUGGGGAAUAUUGGACAAUGGGCGCAAGCCUGAUCCAGCCAUACCGCGUGGGUGAAGAAGGCCUUCGGGUUGUAAAGCCCUUUUGUUGGGAAAGAAAUCUUUCAGGCUAAUACCCUGGGAGGAUGACGGUACCCAAAGAAUAAGCACCGGCUAACUUCGUG
rnacentral:rRNA from 1 species